rnacentral:rRNA from 6 species
UUGACCUCGGAUCAGGUAGGGAUACCCGCUGAACUUAAGCAUAUCAAUAAGCGGAGA